GAGAGAAACGGAUAUGCCAGACCUUGCCAAAGUAUGAUCCACUUCUAAUUUACAUAAGCACCACAGGAUGAAAGGAAACCAGCUAGAAACACACAACCAAGGAACUACUGCCAAUAUAAAAAGGGAAACUCUUCUUCAAUGCUCCGAAACCAAAGCAACACACACAACAGUUUCCCUGUGGCAAUCUUAAAUACCUUACCCAGCAUGGCUUGAGGAUGUUUUGCCCUGAUUAGAUGAUGCCGAGUAAAGGUGUAGGAGAGACGAGAAGGGGGGUUAGAUUAAUUUUUGACAAGGACUGGCCUACUUAAGGAUUGCAUUCAAACUUAAAGUAAUGGGAAAUGUUAGGCAUGUAGCUAUGCAGGGACUCCGACCCCUGAUAUGGUAUCCUGUCUCUUCUGAGGAGGUGAGAUCCAUAGACUGUCGGCCUAUAUUAGGCUAUCAGUGGAUUUUAAAAUUCCCCAAUCACAUUUGCUUUGAUGCUUGUUACGGGGAGGCCAGGCCGCAUUCUUAUUCACUGUUUCCCCCUCUAAGGCCAUAAUCUACAGUAAAUGCUACAUCCUACAAGACCAACCAACCAAUGAUGUGUGCUUAUUAUAAAUGUCUGUGACCAGUGCAAGUGCAAAUUUCCCCUGUGAUCUGUACGUUCUCUACAGAUGGAUUUCUUCAGCUGUCCGACUCGCUCAUCACCCAUCUACCAGAGGGCUGGAGAACAGGCCCUAGCUUAGGAGAUACCAUUCUACUCCUGCUAUGGGUGCUGACAGUAUGGAGGACCGGGUUAACUGUAAAAAACAGGAUAUACCAAUG